GUUUAAUUAGUUUAAGAAAAAUUAUAAAUUGUGGAUUUAUAGAUGAAAAUUUCAUUAAGCA
rnacentral:tRNA from 1 species